UGUCCAAAAAUGAUAGUAUGUGCCUA
rnacentral:sRNA from 1 species